GACGAACGCUGGCGGCGUGCCUAACACAUGCAAGUCGAGCGAAGUGAUUUGGAGUGAAAUUUUCGGAUGGAACAAAGAAUCAUCUUAGCGGCGAACGGGUGAGUAACGCGUGAGAAACCUGCCUUUCACAAAGGGAUAGCCUCGGGAAACUGGGAUUAAUACCUUAUGAUACUCUUAGAUCGCAUGAUCUGAAAGUUAAAGUGUAAAGCGGUGAAAGAUGGUCUCGCGUCCUAUUAGCUAGUUGGUGAGGUAACGGCUCACCAAGGCUGCGAUAGGUAGCCGGCCUGAGAGGGUGAACGGCCACACUGGAACUGAGACACGGUCUAGACUCCUACGGGAGGCAGCAGUGGGGAAUAUUGCACAAUGGAGGAAACUCUGAUGCAGCGACGCCGCGUGAAUGAUGAAGGCCUUCGGGUCGUAAAGUUCUGUCCUUGGGGAAGAUAAUGACGGUACCCAAGGAGGAAGCCCCGGCUAACUACGUGCCAGCAGCCGCGGUAAUACGUAGGGGGCGAGCGUUGUCCGGAAUUAUUGGGCGUAAAGGGUUCGCAGGCGGUCUGAUAAGUCAGAUGUGAAAGGCUAUGGCUUAACCAUAGUAAGCAUUUGAAACUGUCAGACUUGAGUUAAGGAGAGGAAAGUGGAAUUCCUAGUGUAGCGGUGAAAUGCGUAGAUAUUAGGAGGAAUACCAGUGGCGAAGGCGACUUUCUGGACUUAAACUGACGCUGAGGAACGAAAGCGUGGGGAGCAAACA
rnacentral:rRNA from 1 species